rnacentral:misc_RNA from 1 species
GUUUCCGUAGGUGAACCUGCGGAAGGAUCAUUACCGAGUGGGAAGCUGUACCGAAUUAAAAUAGGUCGGCUAUACACAUUUUCUAACCCUUGUGAACUUCUCCUGUUGCUUUGGUAGGACAUCAAUGAGAAAUGUUUCCAACCGGCUUUGGUUUUGGCUUUUGUCAGAGUCAGGUCGGCUGAGCAUAAUUUUUGGCUCGAGCUCUGGGCUUAUUAUUAUUAUAAGCCCUGUCGAGAGUGCCUACCAAAGGUUUUUAACAAAAAAAAUGCUUUUUUAAUUUCUGAUUUAUUUACAAAAAAUAACUAAAAAUAUUUUUAAAACUUUCAGCAACGGAUCUCUUGGUUCUC